GCUUCCUUAGUUAAAUGGAUAUAACAAGGUCCUCCUAAGACCUAGUUGCUGGUUCGAUUCCAGCAGGAAGCG
rnacentral:tRNA from 1 species